UGCCGACCUAGUGACAUAAAAAAAAAAAUAGUGUAAGAAUCUGGCAACUAAAUUAAAUGUCAUUUAAACCAAUGGGAAUCGAUUACAGUGGGGGUAUGUUAAGUGGGGAUAAUUUGUUGGUAAGCUAGAGGAAGGAACGGAGGAGUCAUUCUGGUUGCUGAUUUUGAAGCGAGCACUAGUACUGUCAUUGGUUACUAAAUCAUAUAUUGUAUAUCCAAUACAAAUCAGAAGUGGCAAGCGUCUACUGCUCACAAAGAUCUCACCGAAUACAGCUGUAAUGGCUCAGAAAACGAAUCACAAUCUAUACUAAAACAAGAUACAAUAUUUAUAAAUAAAAGGAAAUAUGUACCCAUGACGACAAUAAAUGAAAAUAAAAAAGCUUGUUUUAAAAAUGAUAAUGAUGAAAACGGAAAUCCAAAGAGGAAUAAAGUUGAAGAAUCGUAUGAGAACGUGACAAAUAAUGAUCAAAAAUGUAUUCUCUGUGUUUUUGAUAGCGAACUGAAUAAAAGAAAUUAUUAUUUUGGAAAUUUACUUAUAGGAGAGCUUCAUUUUUGCCUCCGUGUAUGAGAUCACACGCCUACAUUAAUAUAUUGAAAUAUGUCGAAACACUUAAACAUAAGCAUUUAAAUAAUAAUUAAUAUUUUUUUUACAUAA